UAGGGAUGGCAGCGGCAUCCUUUUGCGGAGUCCCGACGCUUCGGGACGAAGCAAAAGAUAUAGCGAACAGCCCGGCCGCGG
rnacentral:sRNA from 1 species